rnacentral:misc_RNA from 1 species
GAUGAAGAACGCAGCGAAAUGCGAUAAGUAAUGUGAAUUGCAGAAUUCAGUGAAUCAUCGAAUCUUUGAACGCACCUUGCACCCUUUGGUAUUCCGAAGGGUAUGCUCGUUUGAGUGUCAUUGUACUCUCACACUUCUAAUUCCUUUCGGGAUUGGGAGCGGUGGACUUGGGUGUUGCUGCUUUAGUUGUGGCUCACCUCAAAUAAGUUAGUGCAACUCUUGGUUGGACAUAGUACGGCGUGAUAAGUGUCUUCGCCGGCGCCUCUGUAAGGAGGGUGGCCGAUCGGGAGCUCUGUGCUUCAAACCGUCUUCGGACAAUCUUUGACAACUUGACCUCAAAUCGAGUAGGACUACCCGCUGAACUUAAGCAUAUCAAUAAGCGGAGG